rnacentral:lncRNA from 1 species
UCAAAGGGGCCUGCCCUACUGACACCCAGAGUUCAAAGAAAGUCUCGUAUCGCAAGUGUUCAACCUUGCGCUUGCGCAUAGUGACAGCAACGCAGCCGACUGGUAUUUCUGCUACUUUGGAUUAGCCCAAGCCAGCACUGAGCGCGGAUGCAGGAGGAAUCACAGAUGGUUUUCUUCUGUCUGUCUCAGCAUUUUGCACAAGGUGUUACACACAGUGGGUGCUCUACAGUCUUAUGCCAGAGCCCCUGUAGCAAGAUCCUGAACUGAGCAAGCUUGGCUUCGUGAUUUUCGGGGGUGCUCUUGGGAAAACUGGAGGGGCUGUGGGGCAGCAGAGCAGGAAGAAAGGGAGUUGUAGAGGAUGGUUCUGACUGGUUCGUGGCGACCUUGGGAUGGAAAUUGUGUCCCUUGUUUGUCCCCACUCCAAGCAAAGGAGAAGGAACCUAGGAGACCUGCAGCCCAGCCUGGGAGAGAUGCACUUCCAAGACUGUCCACUAUGCGGCAGUAGCUGAGUAGUCUGAAGGGCAUUCCGCUGGGAAGGCAAAGGACUACCAAGAAUGGAUAGAAACACAAAGAGGCGUGCGGAGAUCGCUGCCCUCCAGAAUGUUAGCUCUACCUCUGAAUGCAGAAGCUCGGUGUGACUUCCCGCGUGCUCAGGAAAGAGGAUGGGGACGCUAAGUAAGGGGGAGCUCCUGUAACUUACACUGAAGAAUGCCGGUCAGAGCCAGGAGACCCACGAAGCAGCCAGUCUCCGCCAGGAUUUCACAAGCGCUAGAGCGACUGAGUUUGUCUUAGGAGCCCUGCUGUGUGUCUACCGUGAAGCUAAAUCUUCCCAAAAUCCACUCAUCUAACUCUCCCACGGCUCGGUGUAGAGGAGGAGACAGGGGCGUGAGUGGGGACCUGCUUUGCUUAAGGGCAAAGACGAUGUUGGAUUAGUCCUCCGAAGAUGUAAAUUAAAACCGCGGUGAGUGGGCUGGGUAUGAACAUGCUUUUAUUCCAGUACUUGAGAGACAAAGCCUGGUGGAUCUUUGAGUGCAAAGCCUGCCUGGUCUCUAUAGUCAGUUUCAGGCCAGCCAGGGGUACAUGGUUAAACCCUGUCUCAAAAUAAAACAAACAAACAAAAUAAAAUAAAGCCUCCGUAAGGGGUGAUAAAAAUGGCUCAGUGGCUAAAAGCAUGUCCUACCUCUUGCAAAGGACCCAAGUUUGAUUCCCGUGCCCAUAUCAGGUGGUUCACAACUCCCAGAGGUUCUGGUACCCUCUUCUGGCCUCCC